GAUACCUACGGGGGGCAGCAGUGGGGAAUAUUGCACAAUGGGGGAAACCCUGAUGCAGCAACGCCGCGUGAGUGAAGAAGUAUUUCGGUAUGUAAAGCUCUAUCAGCAGGGAAGAAAAUGACAGUACCUGACUAAGAAGCCCCGGCUAACUACGUGCCAGCAGCCGCGGUAAUACGUAGGGGGCAAGCGUUAUCCGGAUUUACUGGGUGUAAAGGGAGCGUAGACGGCUGCGCAAGUCAGAAGUGAAAGCCCGGGGCUCAACCGCGGGACGGCUUUGGAAACUGCGUAGCUAGAGAGCAGGAGCG
rnacentral:rRNA from 1 species